AUGGUCACCACAACACUAAAGUCUCGCCCGCCGCAUGCCCUCUCCGCCAUGACCACCCGCCGCCGCCGCCGCCGCCGCUCUUCGCCAGCGGCUCCAUCCAUUCCCCUCGCCCCCCUGCGCUCCGCUUCCUCCCCUGCUCGGGCUUCCUUGGCUGCUCUGUGCUGCGUGUUCUUGGCCUUCGCGCUGUCCGUCUCGGCGGCGGCGGCGGCGGCGGAUUCCGCGGAGGAGAGCCAUGAGGACGGUCGCUGCCUCGGCUUCCGGGAUGUGCGCGCGGACGGGGGUUCCUUCUGCUUCUCGUCCUCGGAGGUCCAGACGCUGCUCGCCAGCGAUGACGUCAUCAACGAGCCUGAUUUGGGGGUUUCAAGGGACUGGGGGCCAUCCCGGUCAAUGUGCUUCCCGAUGUCCGGGGGAGGCAUGGUAACUUGCUCCUCUGCCGAUGCAAUCGUCGCAGGGGCGCGCGAUGCGUUGGGGAGAGAGGGCAAGGAUGUUGCGAGGUAUGAUGCUGGGUCGUGCCAGGCGCCGCUUGUGCCUGACAAUUGGAUGCAGGCAUCGCAUGGGGUGCCACUGGAACUGGAUGGCGCGACCUCAGAUGUCAGCCCAAAUGCCCUCUACAGUUCUUCCUCCAUGAAUGUGGAGAUAAGUCCGCCAGUCUUGGAUUGGGGCAGGAGUAACCUGUAUGCAGCCUCUGUGGCCUCCCUGACUGUGGUGAACUUGAACAAUGACAGUGUCUUGCGUGUCUAUGAGCCAUUCAGCACUGAUCCACAGUUCUAUGUGUAUGGUUAUGAGGACCUGGUUCUGCAGCCCGGCGAAAAUGCGUCGGUCACCUUCAUGUUCCUGCCAAAGUUGUUGGGCUCUUCUUCAGCACAUUUGGUUUUGCAGACCAAUUUUGGUGGGUUCAUCAUACAAGCUAAGGGCAUGGCUGUCGGGUCGCCUUACCAGAUACUUCCAUUGACCAGGAUGGAUGUUGUAAUAGGUGGACACCUGGAGAAGAAUUUGUCCAUAUACAACCCUUUUGAUGAUUCUCUCUAUGUCGAGGAAGUGGCCGUUUGGAUGUCUGCUUCUGAAAGCACAAAACAAUCUUCUCAUGUAGUUUGUCAGUUAGGCCCUCUGGAUGAGGCAGUGGAGUUAACUUCUUUGAGCAGCAACUGGCAUACAGCAAGCAGUACUGAAUUUGGAUGGCCAGUGAUCCAUAUUAGGCCUAGUGAGCAAUGGGAGGUGCUUCCUUCAGAAAGCAGCACUGUCAUAGAGUUGAAAUUGCAACCUAUUUCAGAAGGCAAGGUGUUUGGUGCUAUCUACAUGAAACUGCGCAAUCACACAACUGAUAAGGUGGACAUUGUUGUUAUACCUAUUGAACUAGAGGUACACACGCGCACCUACUAUGAUUCCACAAACUUGGUUUCUGUCACGUUUGAGCGAAUAUCAUCUUGUGCUGGAAAUGGGUCAAUAUAUUCCCUUUCCUUACGGAAUGAUGCAACAGAGUUACUGAAGGUUGUGAGUAUAACUGGGGAUAACAGGGAUGGCCCGAUGAUCUUUCAGUUGAAGUACUUGAAUGGCUUGAUACUCUUCCCUGACACUGUAACAGAUAUAGCUUUGAUAAGAUAUACUGCUUCAGUUCCAAAGGGUAUUUCAUUUGACAACUGCAAUAUAGUGGUCGAAACAAACAGUUCCCUUGGUAGUUCAAUUGUGAUACCCUGCCAAGAUAUAAUGCGUGCACCUAUUUCUCAUACAACCAAUGCCGUUGUUGCUGAUUCUGAUGAGCCAUUUGCUGAAUCACAUUCUGAAGAGACCUCUGCUAACUCAAGGACAGGAUCUUUGGGCAGCAUCAUAGAAACAGAAGGCCCGCAUAACAUGAAGCCAACAAUCGGGGGAGCGAUCAGAGCAGAUGACAUGGUACUUAGGAAUUGGAGAUCUCAUGGAACAAUGACUGGGAUUUCUGUUCUCACAAAUCAUGAGUUGGUGUUUCCUGUCGUGCAAAUUGGAUCACAGUUUUCUGAAUGGAUAACCGUCCAUAACCCAAGCCAGCAACAUGUGUCCAUGCAGCUGGUACUGAACUCUGAGGAAAUCAUUGGCCAGUGCAGAACUGUAAACGACGAAUGUGAACACACUUUCUCAAGCAGAUCUCCAGAAAUUGACUCAACAGAGACCAGAUUUGGCUUCUCAUUAGGUAGCAAAGCAAUUACUGAGACCUAUCUUGGUCCUUUGACAAGCGCUGUACUUGGUCCCAUUGUUUUCCGCCCUUCAAAUCGGUGCAUGUGGUCAAGCAUGGCUUUGAUUAGAAACAAUCUGUCAGGCUUGGAAUGGUUACCUCUUCGAGCACCUGGUGGCUGGCAAUCUAUUGCCCUUUUAGAGGGACCUGAGGCUGUUUGGAAGUUAGAGUUUAACCUUGGUUCUAAUCUUGACGACAACUCAACACUGUCCAAAUCCGAGAUCCCCAGCUCUUCGUGCAGUCAGCAGUUGUCCAAGGAGAUACAUGUUAAAAAUAGUGGUGACCUUCCUCUUCGAGUCACAAAGGUGAAAGUUUCUGGAGUUGAUUGUGGUUUGGAUGGAUUUACGGUGAACAACUGCAAGGGGUUUAGCUUAGCGCCAAGUGAAUCAAUAAGAAUGCUCAUUUCUUUUAAAGCUGACUUCUCUUCAGUUAAGGUUCAGCGAGAUCUUGAGCUAGCUAUGACUACUGGCAUCUUCGUAAUCCCUAUGACUGCAAAUAUUCCUGUCUGUAUGCUUAAGCAGUGCAAAAGGUCUUACUUCAGAUCAAUCCAUUGGAAAGCAUUGAUACUCUUUUUGGGAACUGUGUCCUUGUUUGUUGUGGUCAUUGUUCGUGGUGCCCCGUAUUCUUUGUCAGCGAACUCUCAAGACUACUAUGCCAAGAUUGCUGACAGGAAAGAUACCAUCAGUAAGACUGUUAAGCCCUCUUUUCCUCAGGGUAGUAACAAAACUUCCAGGCCGAUAAGGGAACACAGAAAAGCUGAAGAAGCUCCUCCUGAGAAAUGCCCUCCUAGUACUCUUGAUAGCCCCCGAAAGAAAGAUGACAAGAGCAAUGCAGAUAAACAACAGAGUACAACUUCAGCUAUAUCUGUGUCCCCAACUAAUCCUGUGGAAGACAAGGUAUCAACGGAAGUUACAGAAACUAGCGGGAACCUUACUAUCAGAGUUGCUAGAGAAAAAGGGAGGCGAAGGAAGCGAAAAGUUGGCGGCGCAGGACUGGCAGCAAAAUUUGAGGUUUCUAGCAGCCACAGCGGGAAUUCAACACCAUCUUCACCGUUGUCACCGAGUUUGACCCCUAAACAAGGCUGGUCCUUUUCUGGAGCAUCAUCUGAACCGAAGCACAGAAACAAACUCGAGAGUAGACUUGAUGUCGAAGCAAGGGCACCAUUAACUGGGAAUAACAAAGUGAAGAAUGGCUGGUCCCAAACUGCCAAGCAGCAGCCACCCGCACCUCCAGCGACAUCUGUAAACCCAUUGGCUUCAUCCACUGCACUGACCACAGCAUGGCGCUCGCCAUUGUUGGCCUCAUCUUCCCCAAUUGCCCCGCAUGCUCGUGCUCCCGGCUCCAACCUGAUGAAAGACAAGGCUGUGAAGAGAGAUGAGGGUGUCACUGCACUGAAGAAAGAGUUCACUUAUGACAUAUGGGGUGAUCAUUUCUCUGGACAUCUGCUGGGGAAAGCAAGGGAGGUCGCACCGGGCAAGGUGUUUACUGCUUCUGAAGGGUCCUCCUACAGUUUCUUUGCAAGAGAGCCUCAGGCCCUCAUGAUGAAGCAGCCGUCUGCGCCACCUGACUCUCGUGGCCGCAGAUCGCUGCCGUCUGAUGUAGCUUCUGGUUAUGCAAUAAAUUAA
rnacentral:rRNA from 1 species